UACGUAGGGUGCAAGCGUUGUCCGGAAUUAUUGGGCGUAAAGAGCUCGUAGGCGGUCUGUUGCGUCGGGAGUGAAAACUCAGGGCUUAACCCUGAGCCUGCUUCCGAUACGGGCAGACUAGAGGUAUGCAGGGGAGAACGGAAUUCCUGGUGUAGCGGUGAAAUGCGCAGAUAUCAGGAGGAACACCGGUGGCGAAGGCGGUUCUCUGGGCAUUACCUGACGCUGAGGAGCGAAAGUGUGGGGAGCGAACAGG
rnacentral:rRNA from 1 species